GCGUUGUGUCAUCGAACCAAAGUCGCAAU
rnacentral:sRNA from 1 species